rnacentral:lncRNA from 1 species
GCUACCACUUAGGGGUUUCUCUGCCCUGCCCACCCUUCUGGACGGGUGGGCACUUCGGUUAACAGGUGGCAGCAGUCAGCCAGCCCCGGGGCUUUGGUUUAAAAGACGCACAUGUACUUGUACACACGGGGUUAGAAAUAUGAGUUGGCUGGUCAACUUGAGCAUGUUACUGACAAGGGGGUUUGGGGGUUAUUUUCUGGUGGGACUAGCAUGUCACUAAAGCAGGCCUUUUGAUAUAUUAAAAUUUUUUUUUAAAAAAGCAAAACAAGUUUAGAUUUUAAUCAUUUGUAGGGUUUCUAAGUCAUUGUUUUACAGAAUUGCUUGUUUGCUCCCAACUGUCUCCUUCCCAUCUCUGCUCUCUGAGGCGACGGGGACAGGACUGAGCCAAACACUUGUAAUUUUGUAUCCUGGUGUCUAUUCUGAGUGGGAAAUAUUCCUUUCCUUUGUUAAGAUUCCUGAGGAGUUAUUUUUUCUUUUAUAAUAAAAAACAAACCCCACCUUCGGCCCUAAGCUUUCCCUACUGUUUGUGGCUGUUUUUGUGCUGGCGGCGGCAGGCCAGCUGUGGCUUUCUCUUGCCGUGACGACUUGUGAUUGCCAUGUACAGUAUGUUCGGAGUUAGAUAACUCCUCAUUGUAAACAAGCUGUGUUAACUGCCCAGAGAUCGGCAUUGCUGCGUUGCAUUCAGUGAAAGAUAACUUUAUCAUAAUCAUCAAUAAAUUCCUCAUAUGUGCCAGACAUUUUGCACAUAAUCUCAUCAUUCUUUCUUUAUUUAUUUUUAUUAUAAUUUCUUUUUUUUUAAAGAUUUUAUUUUUACUUUUUCUCCCCAAAGCCCCCCAGUACAUUGUUGUAUAUUUUUAUUUGUGGGUCCGUCUAGUUGUGGCAUGUGGGAUGCUGCCUCAGCAUGGCUUGAUGAGUGGUGCCAUGUCCGCACCCAGGAUCCAAACCAGUGAAACCCUGGGCUGCCUAAGCUGAGUGUGUGAACUUAAUCACUCAGCCAUGGGGCCGGCCCCAAAAUAGGCAUUCUUAUAUCCAUUUUUCAGAUGAGUUAGAAAGCAGAAGCUCAGAGAGGUUGAGAAACUUACUCAAGUUCAACAAACUAAGUGGGCAAGCUACAAUAAAAACUUAGAUCUUUGAUUUCUAAAUACA